AUUGAACGCUGGCGGCAGGCUUAACACAUGCAAGUCGAGCGGGGUGAUGGUGCUUGCACUAUCACUUAGCGGCGGACGGGUGAGUAAUGCUUAGGAAUCUGCCUAUUAGUGGGGGACAACAUCUCGAAAGGGAUGCUAAUACCGCAUACGUCCUACGGGAGAAAGCAGGGGAUCACUUGUGACCUUGCGCUAAUAGAUGAGCCUAAGUCGGAUUAGCUAGUUGGUGGGGUAAAGGCCUACCAAGGCGACGAUCUGUAGCGGGUCUGAGAGGAUGAUCCGCCACACUGGGACUGAGACACGGACCAGAAUCCUACGGGAGGCAGCAGUGGGGAAUAUUGGACAAUGGGGGGAACCCUGAUCCAGCCAUGCCGCGUGUGUGAAGAAGGCCUUAUGGUUGUAAAGCACUUUAAGCGAGGAGGAGGCUCCUUUGGUUAAUACCCAAGAUGAGUGGACGUUACUCGCAGAAUAAGCACCGGCUAACUCUGUGCCAGCCGCCGCCGCCG
rnacentral:rRNA from 1 species